CCGCCUCCGUAUCUCCUUCGUUCCUUAACUAGAAGGCUCAAUACCGGAGGCAAAAGAAGCGCAAUUUCAACCUCUUUCACCUCCUCAAAUCCGCCCCUACUCCCGCUGAAUCAAAUCGUCAUCACCGGAGGAAAAAUCCCCGAAACCCUAAAUUUGCGCCAUUGAUAGAGCUCCCAAAUUCGUCGCAUACAUCGCAAAUCCUCUGAAAUUGAAGAAAACGCUGACGUUGGUCCGGUAGUCGGAGUGAGUGAAAUCUCCGCGCCAGGAGGAGACGAUUUGUACGACUACAUCGAGCCCGAAGGUUGCAAGACAUGCACCCUCCCUUGAACAAUUUAAUCCUAGUAGAUAGAGAGUUAUUUUAGUAGUGUACUUAUCCUUUGGAGUACGAUAGACUGCACGAAUUCUUCUAAAUUAAUUAUAUUGCUAUUAUUGAUUAUAUUUUAUGUUGUUGUUAUGGACACCUUAAUGGGCCUUAGAGUCUAACAAGCUUAGGGUAAAAUUUGAGAAGCACUUAAACAAACUGUUAAUUAUGUAACAUGCUAUUGAUUUAUCAUGGAUAUUAUUAUUGCUUAUGAAAACAUGCUUAUGGAACUAUUUAUGGCUAUAUGCUAAGAAUUGUUGACACCGCAUGUGAGCGGGUGGUACACAAGAUAGAGUUCAUGUGUUUGGUUUCAUGGACCUUUUUAUAGUCGUGAUGGAUAUAUAGAUAUAUUUUAUGGUUAUUUCUUAUUUAAAAUUGAUAUAAUAAUCAACCCCCUUGUGUCAAUAAGAAUGACAUAGUUUCGCCCAUCCACACGAUCGAUUUGUCGAACCUGGCCGUAUAUUGCUCCAAUUGAUUAAACUUCUGCAGGCCUUUCGGUGUACUGGCCAUUAGCUUUCAAGUGUGUGAAGCAAAGUGACAUGGUUCAUGUUUAUAUGAUUUAUAUAUGAGGGCUCGAUGGGCCCCGAGAGUCCAGAACUGCCCUAUGGGCCUAUGAAGUUCUGGGCUGCCCAUCGAGUAACGAACAAUGGUAAGUGGAUGCGGAGGUAGGUUGGCACACACCUCGGACCGGAUCACUCUGUGCAACAUCCUGAGCAUCCUUUAACUUACUAGGCAGAAGGGAGAAAUAUAUGGAGCAAUAUUACACCUUGUUACUUUUCAGCCCGGCCAGCUGUGGGUAUCGUGUGGGUAAAGCUGGACAGACGCUGCAGAGUCGUUGAGUAUUCGAAUACGCCGUGCUCCCGAUUAAUGGAGAUGUGCCUAUGGGUGAUUCCAGAUUAUGGGCACAAGUUAAACUAAAUGGCUAUAAAUUAAUAUGUUAACUUAUUUAUUACUUGAUGUUCUAUUCAUGUUAUUUAUAAGUAACAUUUAUAUUUUUUUUCUGCUCGUUAUUUCUGUUUAAAUUAAAUGUUCAAUAGUGUUGUUUAAAUCAAAUAUUUAUUAAGAUAGGCUCUAUGAAAUAACUUUUAAGGUUAGGGUUUGAACCUUCCAGCUAUUAAUAUUGCAUGUUUUAUAUUGCAAUUAUUGCAUUUGCUGUCAUAAGCAUGUCUUGCUGAGUACCUUUUGUACUCAUAAAUGGGUUCAGAUCAUGAGGAGAAAGAUGCUUGUGGAGAACCUGUUGAUCUGUUAGAGUAGGACAGCUAUGGUUUCUAGGUCAUCCUACGCUUAGGCAGUUCCUGUGGUGGAGUCUAGCAGUUUAUCUGUUCGUAGAAAUAAGGCUUUAUAGGCCAUAUAUGUAAUGGUUUGUAUUUAUGUUGUGUUGUGAACUAAGUGACUUAAGUAUUGUAUAAUCGAAGUUUAUGCUUUUAUAUCAUUUCAUGCGAA